CUGCCUGCCGAUCCAAUAUCUAGGUUAUGAACAAAGAAAAUUGAUUUGCAACUUUCACGAGAAUUCUCAAUGACAUAAAUCGUAAUUAAUUACUGUGGAUCCGAAUAUUGCCUUUCGUGAGUCUCCUCUACGCAAUUCUGAGUUAAUUGAAUCAAAACUUUCUGAAAAUUCUGAUGACGAAUAUAAUUAAACAAAAGAAAAAAUGGCUGUAAAAGGGAGAAAGCACGUGAUUG
rnacentral:lncRNA from 1 species